rnacentral:rRNA from 1 species
GACGUAGGGUGCGAGCGUUGUCCGGAUUUAUUGGGCGUAAAGAGCUCGUAGGCGGCUCGUCGCGUCGACCGUGAAAACCCGCGGCUUAACUGCGGGCUUGCGGUUGAUACGGGCGGGCUAGGGUUCGGUAGGGGAGACUGGAAUUCCUGGUGUAGCGGUGAAAUGCGCAGAUAUCAGGAGGAACACCGGUGGCGAAGGCGGGUCUCUGGGCCGAUACUGACGCUGAGGAGCGAAAGCGUGGGGAGCGAACAGG